rnacentral:rRNA from 1 species
AGGGUUUGAUUAUGGCUCAGAUUGAACGCUGGCGGCAGGCCUAACACAUGCAAGUCGAGCGGUAGAGAGGUGCUUGCACCUCUUGAGAGCGGCGGACGGGUGAGUAAUGCCUAGGAAUCUGCCUGGUAGUGGGGGAUAACACUCGGAAACGGACGCUAAUACCGCAUACGUCCUACGGGAGAAAGCAGGGGACCUUCGGGCCUUGCGCUAUCAGAUGAGCCUAGGUCGGAUUAGCUAGUUGGUGGGGUAAUGGCUCACCAAGGCGACGAUCCGUAACUGGUCUGAGAGGAUGAUCAGUCACACUGGAACUGAGACACGGUCCAGACUCCUACGGGAGGCAGCAGUGGGGAAUAUUGGACAAUGGGCGAAAGCCUGAUCCAGCCAUGCCGCGUGUGUGAAGAAGGUCUUCGGAUUGUAAAGCACUUUAAGUUGGGAGGAAGGGCAUUAACCUAAUACGUUAGUGUUUUGACGUUACCGACAGAAUAAGCACCGGCUAACUCUGUGCCAGCAGCCGCGGUAAUACAGAGGGUGCAAGCGUUAAUCGGAAUUACUGGGCGUAAAGCGCGCGUAGGUGGUUCGUUAAGUUGGAUGUGAAAUCCCCGGGCUCAACCUGGGAACUGCAUUCAAAACUGUCGAGCUAGAGUAUGGUAGAGGGUGGUGGAAUUUCCUGUGUAGCGGUGAAAUGCGUAGAUAUAGGAAGGAACACCAGUGGCGAAGGCGACCACCUGGACUGAUACUGACACUGAGGUGCGAAAGCGUGGGGAGCAAACAGGAUUAGAUACCCUGGUAGUCCACGCCGUAAACGAUGUCAACUAGCCGUUGGGAGCCUUGAGCUCUUAGUGGCGCAGCUAACGCAUUAAGUUGACCGCCUGGGGAGUACGGCCGCAAGGUUAAAACUCAAAUGAAUUGACGGGGGCCCGCACAAGCGGUGGAGCAUGUGGUUUAAUU